rnacentral:rRNA from 1 species
AAGAGAUGGCGACCGGCGCACGGGUGAGUAACACUAUCCAACCUGCCGAUAACUCCGGAAUAGCCUUUCGAAAGAAAGAUUAAUACCGGAUGGCAUACGAAUAUCGCAUGAUAUUUUUAUUAAGGAAUUUCGGUUAUCGAUGGGGAUGCGUUCCAUUAGUUUGUUGGCGGGGUAACGGCCCACCAAGACUACGAUGGAUAGGGGUUCUGAGAGGAAGGUCCCCCACAUUGGAACUGAGACACGGUCCAA